CCUACGGGAGGCAGCAGUAGGGAAUCUUUCACAAUGGGCGAAAGCCUGAUGGAGCAACGCCGCGUGCAGGAUGAAGGCCUUCGGGUUGUAAACUGCUUUUAUAAGCGAGAAAUAUGAUGGUAACUUAUGAAUAAGGAUCGGCUAACUACGUGCCAGCAGCCGCGGUCAUACGUAGGAUCCGAGCAUUAUCCGGAGUGACUGGGUGUAAAGAGUUGCGUAGGUGGCAUAAUAAGUAGCUAGUGAAAUCUGGUGGCUCAACCAUUCAGACUAUUAGCUAAACUGUUAAGCUCGAGACCGUUAGGGGUAACUGGAAUUUCUAGUGUAGCGGUGAAAUGCUUAGAUAUCACGAAGAACUCCGAUUGCGAAGGCAGCUUACUAAACUGCCACUGACAUUGAUGCUCGAAAGUGUGGGUAUCAAACAGGAUUAGAUACCCCUGUAGUC
rnacentral:rRNA from 1 species